AGUGAACGCUGGCGGUAGGCCUAACACAUGCAAGUCGAACGGCAGCACAGUAAGAGCUUGCUCUUACGGGUGGCGGGUGGCGGACGGGUGAGGAAUACAUCGGAAUCUACUUUUUCAUGGGGGAUAACGUAGGGAAACUUACGCUAAUACCGCAUACGACCUACGGGUGAAAGCAGGGGAUCUUCGGACCUUGCGCGAUUGAAUGAGCCGAUGUCGGAUUAGCUAGUUGGCGGGGUAAAGGCCCACCAAGGCGACGAUCCGUAGCUGGUCUGAGAGGAUGAUCAGCCACACUGGAACUGAGACACGGUCCAGACUCCUACGGGAGGCAGCAGUGGGGAAUAUUGGACAAUGGGCGCAAGCCUGAUCCAGCCAUACCGCGUGGGUGAAGAAGGCCUUCGGGUUGUAAAGCCCUUUUGUUGGGAAAGAAAAGCAGCAGGUUAAUACCCCGCUGUUCUGACGGUACCCAAAGAAUAAGCACCGGCUAACUUCGUG
rnacentral:rRNA from 1 species